rnacentral:rRNA from 1 species
AGCGAACGCUGGCGGCAGGCCUAACACAUGCAAGUCGAACGAAGUCUUCGGACUUAGUGGCGGACGGGUGAGUAACACGUGGGAACGUGCCUUUAGGUUCGGAAUAACUCAGGGAAACUUGUGCUAACACCGAAUGUGCCCUUCGGGGGAAAGAUUUAUCGCCUUUAGAGCGGCCCGCGUCUGAUUAGCUAGUUGGUGAGGUAAAGGCUCACCAAGGCGACGAUCAGUAGCUGGUCUGAGAGGAUGAUCAGCCACAUUGGGACUGAGACACGGCCCAAACUCCUACGGGAGGCAGCAGUGGGGAAUCUUGCGCAAUGGGCGAAAGCCUGACGCAGCCAUGCCGCGUGAAUGAUGAAGGUCUUAGGAUUGUAAAGUUCUUUCACCGGGGACGAUAAUGACGGUACCCGGAGAAGAAGCCCCGGCUAACUUCGUGCCAGCCGCCGCCGUAAAAC